AAUGCACAAGAAUCAUUGAGAGUUAGAUGAUUCACAAUGAAGCAGGUUCUAUUGUUGCUUUGUGUUGUUUUAGUUGCAUUCACGGUAAUAGGAAUUACUGACGCAGUGCCUGCGUUUCUUCCUCCAUGUUGUGAAUGCUUUAGGCCUCCAUGUGACCUCUGCCUUCCCCCUGACCAUCCAAUCUGUGAGCCAUGGGGCUAAUGAACAGGGAAAAAGCAUGCCUAAAGACGAGAAGAUGAAAGACAGCAAAGUUGGAAAUUUUUCCUAAUUGAAAUAAAUUUCAAAUGUGC